GUCUAAUACCGGAUACGACCCUCGGAGGCAUCUCCUGGGGGUGGAAAGAAUUUCGGUCAAGGAUGGACUCGCGGCCUAUCAGGUAGUUGGUGAGGUAAAGGCUCACCAAGCCGACGACGGGUAGCCGGCCUGAGAGGGUGACCGGCCACACUGGGACUGAGACACGGCCCAGACUCCUACGGGAGGCAGCAGUGGGGAAUAUUGCACAAUGGGCGAAAGCCUGAUGCAGCAACGCCGCGUGAGGGACGAAGGCCUUCGGGUUGUAAACCUCUUUUAGUAGGGAAGAAGCGAAAGUGACGGUACCUGCAGAAAAAGCACCGGCUAACUACGUGCCAGCAGCCGCGGUAAUACGUAGGGUGCAAGCGUUGUCCGGAAUUAUUGGGCGUAAAGAGCUCGUAGGCGGUUUGUCGCGUCUGCUGUGAAAACUGGAGGCUCAACCUCCAGCCUGCAGUGGGUACGGGCAGACUAGAGUGCGGUAGGGGAGAUUGGAAUUCCUGGUGUAGCGGUGGAAUGCGCAGAUAUCAGGAGGAACACCGAUGGCGAAGGCAGAUCUCUGGGCCGCUACUGACGCUGAGGAGCGAAAGCAUGGGGAGCGAACAGGAUUAGAUACCCUGGUAGUCCAUGCCGUAAACGUUGGGAACUAGAUGUGGGGACCAUUCCACGGUCUCCGUGUCGCAGCUAACGCAUUAAGUUCCCCGCCUGGGGAGUACGGCCGCAAGGCUAAAACUCAAAGGAAUUGACGGGGGCCCGCACAAGCGGCGGAGCAUGCGGAUUAAUU
rnacentral:rRNA from 1 species